CACGAAGCUAAGCUGGCUGGCAGGCUAGGGACAUGGAAGUCCAACGUCACAAAACAAAAUGGGCUGCAUACUUGAAACCUGGAGUUCGAGCACACGAACAAGAACUCGCGAUCCUUCAAAACAUCAACAACAUCCUAAUUUUAGUUUUAAAUCUUAAGUAGCGCAUUAGAGACUCGGUGUUAUAUCCCCCCGUUUAUUUCCGCAGCAAAUCGGUAUAAGCUUCUCCCUAUGAGCUCAUUCCCCCUUAGGACUGCUGGUACUCACCGUCGUCCUCGGCUUCCUGCUGCUGCCGUUUUCCUUUGUAAGACUGUGGACCUUCCCGAUGCGCAAUGCGCACCACAACUCGGUGCACAUUCACCAAACAGUGUGGAUCAACCCGGACUCUUUGGUGACACCCGACCACUGGAACCUAUGAGAAGCGAAUGGAGAGGAAGACCCGCCUCCAGUUCUACGGGCCUCCAUUUCAAAGUCCAAUGUGUGGAAGCAUGUUAUGCGCAUGGUAUCUAAGGAACGUACCUUAAAAUGGCUGCCGAUGUCGUGGGAGGAGCUUGUUAGAAAAACUGUCUACCAUCCUACAUCAUGCCUUUGAGAUUGUUGCAGGGUGCAGUCUUGCUCCUUAAAGUUUCUUGUCAAAGAACUCGAGGACGUCAGUUUACCCAGAGAAGAUCUUGUUCUUUAGUGCUGCGAGAUAUUCCAUAGUUACCAUACUGUUGCUAAAUGUACUGGGACAAAAAUGUCACAGAACCGAUUUUGGAAUCAACCACACCUUUGCACCUAGUAACCAAAACACUUAAUACGCAACGUGGACUGUUAUCUGUUUCAAGAAACAUUUUAGAUUUGAAAAAGGCAAUUAUAAUAAACAAAUAAUAAUAUUUUUAUGUGGUUCCUCUUGCUCACGGUUCAAGGUAAUAAACCAGAUUAAUACUGAGUCUCUAAAAAUAAAACAAUACAUUUAAAAAACCUGGCACUGAGACCAUUCAUUCACUCCUUUCCUUUGAGCAAGUCAAAGGCUCAACAAAUGUAAAUGCUUGUCUUUUAACCCCAAGGGAGGUCCUGGCAAAGAUGCAUGCAUGCACCACCAAGAGAAAGGCUCCACUUUGUUCAGGGACUGAAACGGUUUUCAUUUCCACCAUAGUGUUCUUGAUGUUGACUGUUCUUGAUUCACCACACUUUACCCAUUAU